UUCUUCUUGDAUYAUUURAGAGGUAGGGCCUGCCCACUGAGUAAAUUAAAGGGCCGCGGUAUUUUGACCGUGCAAAGGUAGCAUAAUCAUUAGUCUUUUAAUUGAAGGCUGGAAUGAAUGGUUGAACGAGGUAUAAGCUGUCUUGAUUAUAAUAUAUUUUGAAUUUAACUUUUGGAUAAAAAGGUCCAGAUUUUUUCAUGGGACGAGAAGACCCUAUAGAGUUUAACAUUUUAUUUUAUAAGGAUGGUUAUGAAUAAAUAARUUUAUAUGAUUGGRUGUUUUGUUGGGGUGAUGACGAGAUAAAGAGARCUCUCGUUUUAUUAAUUAUAAUGAUUUUUAUUUUAUGGAUCCAGUAUUAUUGAUUAUAAGAUAAAAUUACC
rnacentral:rRNA from 1 species